UACGUAGGCAGCAAGCGUUGUUCGGAGUUACUGGGCGUAAAGGGUGUGUAGGCGGUUCUUUUAAGUUUGGUGUGAAAUCUCCCGCUCAACCGGGAGGGUGCGCCGAAAACUGAAGGGCUAGAGUGCGGGAGAGGAGAGUGGAAUUCCUGGUGUAGCGGUGAAAUGCGUAGAUAUCAGGAGGAACACCGGUGGUGUAAACGGCUCUCUGGACCGUAACUGACGCUGAGACACGAAAGCGUGGGUAGCAAACAGG
rnacentral:rRNA from 1 species